GAAAUCUUUAAUACUUGGUGCAACAUUCUGAAACGUGUGCCCAAUGGUGCCCUUUGGCUCCUUAGGUUCCCAGCUGCAGGCGAAAUGAGACUUCGUUCAUAUGCUGUUGCACAAGGGCUGCAGCCAGAGCAAAUUAUUUUUACUGAUGUUGCCAUGAAACAUGAACAUAUCAGACGCAGUGCUUUAGCUGAUCUAUUCCUAGACACGCCAUUAUGUAAUGCACAUACAAC
rnacentral:misc_RNA from 1 species